GUCUGUUGGCGACAUGAGACGCAAUGAAACCAGCAGCUCCGGUGAUGAGAAUGUUCUUGGGAGUGUACGAAGCCAUGAUCAAACGCUGCGUUUAAGAAGAAUGAAAUCAUAAACACUCAAAUACGCAGAAAUGAAUCAGUAGAUCUAGGAAAUCAAACGCAUAAAAGCUUAGAUCCAGAUCCGAAAUCUCGAUUCUGUGAUUAUGACCAUCGGAUCAAAGAGAGAGAGUACGAAAGGGUAAAUGAAACUCAGUGAAGCAUUAUGAUCAAUGUAAAAUUCGAGAUAAUGGAGUAUAAAGGAAGACGAGAGAUUCAGGAAACAUACCUUCGAAUUUUUCAGAUCUUCAAC